UACAUAGGGUGCGAGCGUUAAUCGGAAUUACUGGGCGUAAAGCGUGCGCAGGCGGUGAUGUAAGACAGGUGUGAAAUCCCCGGGCUUAACCUGGGAACUGCAUUUGUGACUGCAUCGCUGGAGUACGGCAGAGGGGGAUGGAAUUCCGCGUGUAGCAGUGAAAUGCGUAGAUAUGCGGAGGAACACCGAUGGCGAAGGCAAUCCCCGUGGGCCUGUACUGACGCUCAUGCACGAAAGCGUGGGAGCAAACAG
rnacentral:rRNA from 1 species